rnacentral:rRNA from 1 species
AUGUGAUCGUCUCUCGCAUAUCAAUAAGCGGAGGAAAAGAAACUAACAAGGAUUCCCCUAGUAACGGCGAGGUGAAGCGGGAAGAGCUCAAAUUUGAAAUCUUAGAGGGUUUCCCUUUACGAAUUGUAGUUUAAAGAAGUGUUUUCUGUUGAGGUUUUGGUAAAAGUUCUUUGGAAUAGGACAUCAUAGAGGGUGAGAAUCCCGUAUUUGACCUUUACUUUCAACUUUGUGAUACACUUUCAAAGAGUCGGAUUGUUUGGGAAUGCAGUCCAAAAUGGGUGGUAAAUUUCAUCUAAAGCUAAAUAUUGGCGAGAGACCGAUAGCGAACAAGUACCGUGAGGGAAAGAUGAAAAGAACUUUGAAAAGAGAGUUAAACAGUACGUGAAAUUGUCAAAAGGGAAGCGUUUGACACCAGUGUUGUUUUUCUGAAAAUCAAUUAAAGAAUUGUUUAUGCUAAGUUGUUUAGACUUUAUCAGCUAACUGUUUAGUUUUGAGCUUUUCUUUAAUGCACUUUUCAGUUAACAAGUCAACAUCAAUUUCUUUUGCUGUAAAAAAGCUUGAGGAAGGUGGCUUGAGAUUCGUCUUAAGUGUUUAUAGCCUCUUGCCUAUGCAGUCGGAGAGAUUGAGGUCUGCAGCGUAGAUCCUUCGGGGCUAAAUGCAUUUGUGCUAAGUUAUAGCAUUUUAUAGACAACUUGUUGACUAUGAUUUGUCUUGUAGCUUACUCGCUUAUGUUAUUUUACCUACGCUUAGGAUGUUGAGUAGCGACAUACGCAC